rnacentral:tRNA from 1 species
GGGCAGGUGGCGGAACUGGUAGACGCGCUAGCUUGAGGGGCUAGUCCUGCAUUAGCGGGGUGGAGGUUCAAGUCCUCUUCUGCCCACCA